CAGAGGGGGCAAGCGUUGUUCGGAAUUACUGGGCGUAAAGGGCGCGUAGGCGGCCUGCUAAGUCGAACGUGAAAUCCCUGGGCUCAACCCAGGAGCUGCGUCCGAUACUGGUUGGCUUGAAUUCGGGAGAGGGAUGUGGAAUUCCAGGUGUAGCGGUGAAAUGCGUAGAUAUCUGGAGGAACACCGGUGGCGAAGGCGACAUCCUGGACCGAUAUUGACGCUGAGGCGCGAAAGCCAGGGGAGCAAACGGGAUUAGAUACCCCGGUAGUCCUGGCCCUAAACGAUGAAUGCUUGGUGUGGCGGGUAUCGAUCCCUGCCGUGCCGAAGCUAACGCAUUAAGCAUUCCGCCUGGGGAGUACGGUCGCAAGGCUG
rnacentral:rRNA from 1 species